UACUGUAAUCUUCGUUCGUAUUUUUUGUGCUAACGAUGAUUGGAGAGAUUUCGUGAAAAGUUUCGUGGAUACUCUUUGUAAUACGAUGAAUUUAUUAAAUUCUAUGAAGAUAGUAGCCUUCUUACUCGUGUGAAAUUAAAAUCAUUCCUGUUGGAUGAGUUUCGCGCAUAUACCAUUGGACUGUAGUCGAACUUUGGACGCCAACCCAUUCAGCUGGCCUUGUUGCGGGUCUGCAGACGAGUUUACUCGUGCGGCACUACUGACUACGUUCGUGUUCUUAUUUGGGUUCUUGGUCUUUUACCGUCCUGCUGGAAAUUCACGGCAUACCGUUGCUAUCAGCCGAUUCCGUAUGCGUUUAUUUGCACAUAAGCCUGUGGUACCGUGGUGCCGUAACAUUCUGGGACUUCUCUCUCCGCUACCGUAGAGUUUUUCUUUGAAACGCUGAAAACUACUCCUUUUUCCACGCUGUUGUGAAAUCACUUUGUUAUCGAUAAGACGUUUUGCCUUUCGGAUAUUGUUAUAUCGGAAUAAUUGGAUGUUCCACGAUGUCGCUGUGGGAGAAAACUCAGCGAUUGCAGGGAGAUGCCCUGGAACAGCUGCGUGCCAUUUAUUCCCAGUGCUUGCCCAUUGAAGUUCGUCAUUAUUGCGCGGAGUGGAUUGAAGCUCAGCAAUGGGAAGGUAUCGAUGCGUACAACAACCUGUACGAAAAGAUGGCUAUGGGACUGUUGGAGAACUUGUUGAAAGAAGUAGAAACAAAAGCGAAAAGUUUAACGCCGAAUGAUUUGGUCACUAAGAUGAAGUUGGAAGAAACUGUAACAUACCUGCGAGGUCAUUAUUUCCGGACCCCGCUGCAUUUUGUGCAGAACAUUCGUACGAUGUUGGAAACUGAGAAGCACCUUGUGGAAUUGGCUGAAAAUAGAAGUAGCGGGAAUAGCGGUACGGAUGAAAUUUCGUCGGUUCCUGAAAACCCGGAACGCUCACAACCGGAUUCCCAGUUAAACAGUGACUUGGAAAACGUGAGGCUGAGUGAAGAUCUUGUUGAAAAGGUGAAAGUCUGCAGUGAGGGUAGGGACAAUGCCGGGCUAACUUCCGCAGUUGAAGAUCUGCUUCGACGCAGAGUCCACCUGAAUUCGAACCAGCAAAGUACAGUCGCUGAAGCUUUUGCUAAUACGGUAGAGAGACUGCGCUCUCGCUGGAGGAUCUUGUCAGCCACUGAACGGUUUGCUGAAGAAUUUUCCACUACGGAAAAUGUGAAAAAAAUAAAGAACUUUAGGACUUUUGUUGAAAACGAGCUGUUGGAGAUCUUGAGAACUGUCUCGGAUAUCACUGAGGAAUGCGAAGUGGACCUGGAGAAGCCAUCCGGAUAUUGGGCAGUCAUUGAAGCGCUCUUAAAUAGUGCCUUAACGGAAAUUGCUGCAACAUCUGAAACCGCGACUAUUCAAUUAUCAAGAAGAAAAAUGAGCACGCCGGACACUGGUGCGGACAGCGGUUUGGGGUCUAGUGCAGCAUCAUCAGGGAGCAAAGUUGAACCUUCGGUUGCUGGCAAAGAUUUAGUUGAUGUAUCUGCUAUUCAAUUAUCAAGAAGAAAAAUGAGCACGCCGGACACUGGUGCGGACAGCGGUUUGGGGUCUAGUGCAGCAUCAUCAGGGAGCAAAGUUGAACCUUCGGUUGCUGGCAAAGAUUUAGUUGAUGUAUCUGAAUUUUACGCAUUACCAAAGUUAGUGCGCGAUUCCGUAGUUAGCUUGGACAUAAUGGCGGAGGAAAUCGUUCCAUCGAAUUUGCCAAUUGUAAUGGGCAAAUAUGAAGAUUACGACAAAACGGAGUUUUUUUUUGACAAUCAUGAGAGCUGUGGAAAAGCAUUCGUGCAUUUUGGAUAUGUGGUUUAUAUUGGGCAUUACGGGAAAUGCCACGGCAGGGCGGCUGGGGGAGUUAUCCGUUGUGUACUUAAAGCAAUUGAAAAGGUUUACGGAGUGAACAAGGUCGACUUUCAGGGUAAUUCCAGGAAUGCGGUGGUGAACCGCGUUGGGUGCGGGUACAAGUUUAAUAAGGAGCAUGACGGAGCUAUCGUUUCAUUUAAUUCUUACAAGGAGUUGGUUGUCGCAGAGGUUUCCCAUAGAAAUGAGUCACUUAAUGUACUGUUUUCCGAGGCGAGCGCUUGGCUCGGGCCAAAUGAUGGCAUCCACGUGCAGUAUUGUAUCUGCGUGAAGAUCAGCAAUGGCUCGAGUGGAGAACGCUUCCGGGCGCGCAUCUUUAUUUUCAAACGAUGUCCGUCCCCGCAGAACAAGCCACUCGGAUCCGCUGCUGGCCUUAUAAAAUGCCACGGCAAGGAAGCCGCAGCGCUCCUGGAUGAUGAUCUCAAGUCGGCAGACGUUUCAAAAUUCUCCAAAGAGCAGAUCCUGGAAGAUUAUGAUAUCGAAUUAGUCGAGCAAUUUGUCGUUACCGAAGACAACUUGGAUGAGGUGUUUUCGUUUGAUUUACGACUGGAAUUACCUAAUGUUGAGCUGCAGACUGCUACUGUAAUGUUAGACUUUUUCAGAGGUGUUUAUGAAGCAUGGUUGUCUAUGCGAGCGGGUUAGUGUAGAAUGUACUAAAUUAACCGACAUGACUAAGGGCAUUUAAGUGAUUGAACGUAAGGGCAGUGAAGUGAUUAAACCGACAAUAUGACUAAGCUCAGUAUUAAUUGAACAGCAGUCAGCACAUUCACCGUUUUUUACAGUUUCGGAGAAAAGACUUCUGUCCAUUAAUUUCUCCCGCGCACCUCAAAUGCUAGCUCUCAGUUGUAAAUCGUUAGGUUUUAGCAUUUUUGAAUCAGUUUAUUCCGUUUGCUUUGCCUAUAUUUUUAUCUUCCGAUGAAUAAGUUGUAAGUUGUUGAAAUGAUAAUUGAAAUCCAGAUAGAUGCCAAUAGUAAUCCCCCGUCGGUGAAUAAUUCGUCCUUCACUUAUUGCUGUAUUGCACAAAAGAAUCUCCACGAAGCGAAAUUAUAUUAUCUUGUAUCGUUCUGCAUAGUUACUAUUUCCCAAGGUCGUUUUGAAAUGGGCUACAAGGAGGCUUCGUACGGAGAAUGUUUGAAAGUUGUACGCCAAAAUCCAGAAUUAUUAGCUGAGUGUUUAGUGCGAUGCGAAAAAUUGGACCAUGAAAAAGUUCAAGAAGC